rnacentral:rRNA from 1 species
CCUACGGGUGGCUGCAGUGGGGAAUAUUGCACAAUGGGCGCAAGCCUGAUGCAGCCAUGCCGCGUGUGUGAAGAAGGCCUUCGGGUUGUAAAGCACUUUCAGCGGGGAGGAAGGCGGUGAGGUUAAUAACCUCAUCGAUUGACGUUACCCGCAGAAGAAGCACCGGCUAACUCCGUGCCAGCAGCCGCGGUAAUACGGGGGUGCAAGCGUUAAUCGGAAUUACUGGGCGUAAAGCGCACGCAGGCGGUCUGUCAAGUCGGAUGUGAAAUCCCCGGGCUCAACCUGGGAACUGCAUUCGAAACUGGCAGGCUAGAGUCUUGUAGAGGGGGGUAGAAUUCCAGGUGUAGCGGUGAAAUGCGUAGAGAUCUGGAGGAAUACCGGUGGCGAAGGCGGCCCCCUGGACAAAGACUGACGCUCAGGUGCGAAAGCGUGGGGAGCAAACAGGAUUAGAUACCCUUGUAGUC